rnacentral:tRNA from 1 species
AGCCCCGAGGUGAGUUUUCAUAUUGAAUUGCAAAUUCAAAGAAGCAGCUUCAAUUGCUGCCGGGGCUU